UACAGAGGGGGCGAGCGUUGUUCGGAAUUACUGGGCGUAAAGGGCGCGUAGGCGGCCCGCUAAGUCGAACGUGAAAUCCCCAGGCUCAACCUGGGAACUGCGUCCGAUACUGGCAGGCUUGAAUCCGGGAGAGGGAUGCGGAAUUCCAGGUGUAGCGGUGAAAUGCGUAGAUAUCAGGAGGAACACCUGUGGUGUAGACAGCUUACUGGACCACUUCUGACGCUGAGACACGAAAGCGUGGGUAGCAAACAGG
rnacentral:rRNA from 1 species